rnacentral:rRNA from 1 species
GACGAACGCUGGCGGCGUGCUUAACACAUGCAAGUCGAACGGAAAGGCCCUGCUUUUGUGGGGUGCUCGAUUGGCGAACGGGUGAGUAACACGUGAGUAACCUGCCCUUAACUUUGGGAUAACUUCAGGAAACUGGGGCUAAUACCGGAUAGGAGCUCCUGCUGCAUGGUGUGGGUUGGAAAGUUUCGGCGGUUGGGGAUGGACUCGCGGCUUAUCAGCUUGUUGGUGGGGUAGUGGCUUACCAAGGCUUUGACGGGUAGCCGGCCUGAGAGGGUGACCGGCCACAUUGGGACUGAGAUACGGCCCAGACUCCUACGGGAGGCAGCAGUGGGGAAUAUUGCACAAUGGGCGGAAGCCUGAUGCAGCAACGCCGCGUGCGGGAUGACGGCCUUCGGGUUGUAAACCGCUUUCGCCUGUGACGAAGCGUGAGUGACGGUAAUGGGUAAAGAAGCACCGGCUAACUACGUG